rnacentral:rRNA from 2 species
CUAGGUUGACCUCGGAU